CCUAAAAUCUAGCUUUAAAUAAAUUACCCAAAUGACACCCUCAACCUGUCAUCCUGCAAAUAAAACAUUUUAUCAUCUUAGUACAGGGGAUCGAAAAAAUUCUUAAAUGCUUUAGAUAAAGUACCGUAAGGGAAUGAUGAAAUAAUAGUGAAAUAGUACUAAAGCCCCAACAUAGCAGAGAUAUACCCUCGUACCUUUUGCAUCAUGGUCUAGCCAGUCUAAUCAAGCAAAAAGAAACUUUAAGUUUGACAUCCCGAAACUAAGCGAGCUACCUCAAAACAGCCCCAAGGGGCCAACCCGUCUCUGUUGCAAAAGGGUGGGAAGAUUUUUAGGUAGUGGUGACAUGCCUAUCGAGCUUAGAGAUAGCUGGUUGCUCAGAAAAAGAGCCUUAGCUCUACCUUAAGUUUAUCUAUUAUAUUGAACAAACCCCUAAACUUAAGAGCCAUUCAAAUAAGGCACAGCUUAUUUGAAACAGGACACAACCUCUAACACCGGGUAAAUAAGGAAAUCUCUAAACAAAGUAGACUUAGAAGCAGCCACCUUUAAAAUAGCGUUACAGCUUAAUUAUAUAUACCCUUAAUUCCUAAACCCCUUAGUAACCCUUCCCCACUACUGAGCCAUUUUAUAUUUUUAUAAAACUAAUUAUGCUAGAACUAGUAACAAGAAACUGUUCUUCUCCAAAAUGCAAGCAUAAACCAAAACGGACAAUACAUUGGCAGUUAACGUACAUGUAUAAAGCAUAAUAACCUAACUAGAAAACCUUAUGCCUCCAAACGUCAACCUUACACUAGAGCAUUACUGGAAAGAUUAAAAGGGAGAGAAGGAACUCGGCAAACCCUAGCCCCGCCUGUUUACCAAAAACAUCGCCUCUUGUUAACCAUAAGAGGUCUAGCCUGCCCAGUGAUAAAAUUUAACGGCCGCGGUACCCUGACCGUGCGAAGGUAGCAUAAUCACUUGUUCUUUAAAUGAGGACUAGUAUCAACGGCAUCACGAGGGCUACACUGUCUCCUCUCCCCAAUCAGUGAAACUGAUCUCCCCGUGAAGAAGCGGGGAUUCCACUAUUAGACGAGAAGACCCCAUGGAGCUUCAAAUCCAACAUUUAACCCACACUUAUAUACCCCCUAAGUUAUAAAGACCUAAUUGUUGACUUUCGGUUGGGGGGACCGCGGAGUAUAACUUAACCUCCACGACUAAUGGGCCUCGCCCUUAUCUACGAACUACACUUCUAAGAAUCAAUAAACUGAUGUUUAAUGACCCGAGAAUUCGACUAACGAACCAAGUUACCCUGGGGAUAACAGCGCAAUCCACUUCAAGAGUCCCUAUCGACAAGUGGGUUUACGACCUCGAUGUUGGAUCAGGAUAUCCCAGUGGUGCAGCAGCUAC
rnacentral:rRNA from 1 species